GAUGAACGCUGGCGGCGUGCCUAAUACAUGCAAGUCGAGCGAACAGACGAGGAGCUUGCUCCUCUGACGUUAGCGGCGGACGGGUGAGUAACACGUGGAUAACCUACCUAUAAGACUGGGAUAACUUCGGGACACCGGAGCUAAUACCGGAUAAUAUAUUGAACCGCAUGGUUCAAUAGUGAAAGACGGUUUUGCUGUCACUUAUAGAUGGAUCCGCGCCGCAUUAGCUAGUUGGUAAGGUAACGGCUUACCAAGGCAACGAUGCGUAGCCGACGUGAGAGGGUGAUCGGCCACACUGGAACUGAGACACGGUCCAGACUCCUACGGGAGGCAGCAGUAGGGAAUCUUCCGCAAAGGGCGAAAGCUUGACGGAGCAACGCCGCGUGAGUGAUGAAGGUCUUCGGAGCGUAAAACUCUGUUAUUAGGGAAGAACAAAUGUGUAAGUAACUAUGCACGUCUUGACGGUACCUAAUCAGAAAGCCACGGCUAACUACGUG
rnacentral:rRNA from 1 species